GCGUUAUCCGGAUUUAUUGGGUUUAAAGGGUGCGUAGGCGGUCCUAUAAGUCAGUGGUGAAAGACGGCAGCUUAACUGUCGCAGUGCCUUUGAUACUGUAGGACUUGAAUCUAUUUGAAGUGGGCGGAAUAAGACAAGUAGCGGUGAAAUGCAUAGAUAUGUCUUAGAACUCCGAUUGCGAAGGCAGCUCACUAAGUUAGUAUUGACGCUGAUGCACGAAAGCGUG
rnacentral:rRNA from 1 species